rnacentral:sRNA from 12 species
UGGGCUGGUCGAAAGACUCGGGUCCACCCGUCGGCGGGGACUUUCCCC